rnacentral:rRNA from 1 species
UACGUAGGGUGUGAGCGUUAAUCGGAAUUACUGGGCGUAAAGCGUGCGCAGGCGGUUGUGCAAGACAGAUGUGAAAUCCCCGGGCUUAACCUGGGAAUGGCAUUUGUGACUGCACGGCUAGAGUGUGUCAGAGGGGGGUAGAAUUCCACGUGUAGCAGUGAAAUGCGUAGAGAUGUGGAGGAAUACCGAUGGCGAAGGCAGCCCCCUGGGAUAACACUGACGCUCAUGCACGAAAGCGUGGGGAGCAAACAGG